rnacentral:rRNA from 1 species
GGUGGUAUCGAUGCAUCAGAGGGAAACACCUGUUCCCAUUCCGAACACAGAAGUUAAGCCUCUAGUGGUCAAUGAUACUGGGGCCAAAGGCUCUGGGAAAGUAGAUUGAUGCCACCU